ACUGAUUUAUGUCACAAAUUGACAUAAAAAGUAUCAAUUAAUAUCUAAAUUAUCUAACUUUAUUAGGAAAUUGAUACUUGUUAUUAUAUUUUGCAGAAGAAGAGGGCAUCAACCCAUUAACAAGAUAAGGUGGGGAUUUCAUUACCCUUCCUUAGCCCAAAAACCAUCUCCAUCAUAUUGCAUUACCUAGACCUUUAAUCUUAAAAUCAAUUAGACGUCAACCUUAAGAAAUUUGAGCUCAAUAGGACAAGGAACCCUAAGAGUUCUACCAAGUUUGAGUUGUUUGAUUAGUUGGUGUCUAGGCAAGUCCCUGAGGGUGGUUUGUUAAAUUGGUUCAGUUGUUGGCCUCGCCAACUCGUUUGGUGUCUAGAAAGGCAACGAUGAGUGAACCUCCCACCUCUUAUACUUACCUGGCUAACUAAUUGAUCAAUCUCUACUUGGAAGGCUUGAAGGGUCA
rnacentral:lncRNA from 1 species